rnacentral:rRNA from 1 species
AGAGUUUGAUCCUGGCUCAGGAUGAACGCUGGCGGCGUGCUUAACACAUGCAAGUCGAACGGAAAGGCCGAAGCUUGCUUCGGUACUCGAGUGGCGAACGGGUGAGUAACACGUGGGUGAUCUGCCCUGCACUUUGGGAUAAGCCUGGGAAACUGGGUCUAAUACCAGAUAGGACCACGUCUUGGAUGGUGUGGUGGAAAGUUUUUUCGGUGUGGGAUGAGCUCGCGGCCUAUCAGCUUGUUGGUGGGGGUAAUGGCCUACCAAGGCGUCGACGGGUAGCCGGCCUGAGAGGGUGUACGGCCACAUUGGGACUGAGAUACGGCCCAGACUCCUACGGGAGGCAGCAGUGGGGAAUAUUGCACAAUGGGCGCAAGCCUGAUGCAGCGACGCCGCGUGGGGGAUGACGGCCUUCGGGUUGUAAACUCCUUUCGCCAGGGACGAAGCGUCAGUGACGGUACCUGGAUAAGAAGCACCGGCUAACUACGUG